UACGUAGGGGGCAAGCGUUGUCCGGAUUUAUUGGGCGUAAAGAGCGUGUAGGCGGUUUGGUAGGUCCGUUGUGAAAACUCGAGGCUCAACCUCGAGACGCCGAUGGAAACCAUCAGACUAGAGUCCGGAAGAGGAGAAUGGAAUUCCUGGUGUAGCGGUGAAAUGCGCAGAUAUCAGGAAGAACACCCGUGGCGAAGGCGGUUCUCUGGGACGGUACUGACGCUGAGACGCGAAAGCGUGGGGAGCGAACAGG
rnacentral:rRNA from 1 species